rnacentral:lncRNA from 1 species
UUAUUCAUUUUUUAUUCAUUUUUUAUUUAUUUUUUUUUUUAAUUACAGAAAUGUACAAAAAGUUGAAAAAGUUAUUGAUAGUAUACAAGAUAUUAAGGACACACAAGAAGAAAUUAACCAAGCUUUGAAUUUUAAUGCAUUAAAUAAUAUAGAUGAUGAUGAAAUAGCUGAACAACUUAAUUUACUGAAGGAACAAACUAUACAAGAAAAAAUUAGUGCUAAUGUUAAUAAUGUUACAACAUUACCAGCAGUUAUGGAAGACAAUACUGAAGUCAAAGUGAAAUCCAAUGAAAAGGAGGAUAAAGUUGUCAUUGAAGAAUCGGAUGAUGAAGAACUUAAAGAAUUAAUUGAAGAAUUAGCAUAAAGACAAAAAAGAAAACAUCUUGUUCUUAUGCUUUUUUUUUAUUUGUUUUGAAAUACAAAAACACAUUAGUUUAAUUAAUUGUUUCCAAUUUUUUGUUAUAAUAAUUCGUUUUUUUUUUCUUUUUUCGUUUCCUUUUUCUUUUUCACACAUUUAUCCCAUGCUGUAUACAGUUUUUAUUACUUUUUUUUUAUUUAUAUGAAAAUUUUUAAACGAAAAUACUUUGAAUUCGAAGUUAGUUUCCUUUUUCUAUUUAUCUUUUUAUUUAUAACAUACUUUUAUAUCAGUCUUACAAAUGUUCUCAUAAAAAAAAAUUUUUUUUGUGUGUGUGUAUAUAUAUAUUUUUUUUUUUUUUUUAAGUUAUAUGUAUAACAUAUUGUAUACAAAACAUAUAUAUACAUUUUUUUUUUUUUUUCUUUUAAAGUGUUAUUUGUUAAAAAACAUAAAAAAAAUAUUGAAAUUAAUAACUAUGUUUGUGUAUUUUAGUUUACGACUCAUAGCUUUGUAAUUUUUUUUUUUUUUUUUUUUAUGAUGUAAUUGACAUAAUGUAUAACCAUUAAUAUAAUAAAUAGAAAAAGUUAGAUAACUAAUUUUGUCUU